rnacentral:rRNA from 1 species
ACGUAGGGUGCAAGCGUUAAUCGGAAUUACUGGGCGUAAAGCGUGCGCAGGCGGUUCGGAAAGAAAGAUGUGAAAUCCCAGAGCUUAACUUUGGAACUGCAUUUUUAACUACCGAGCUAGAGUGUGUCAGAGGGAGGUGGAAUUCCGCGUGUAGCAGUGAAAUGCAUAGAUAUCGUCAAGAACACCGAUAGCGAAGGCAGCUUACUGGGCUGUAACUGACGCUGAGGCACGAAAGUGUGGGGAUCAAACAGGA